GCCAGACUCCUACGGGAGGCAGCAGUGGGGAAUAUUGCACAAUGGGGGAAACCCUGAUGCAGCAACGCCGCGUGAGUGAAGAAGUAUUUCGGUAUGUAAAGCUCUAUCAGCAGGGAAGAAGAUGACGGUACCUGAUUAAGAAGCCCCGGCUAACUACGUGCCAGCAGCCGCGGUAAUACGUAGGGGGCAAGCGUUAUCCGGAUUUACUGGGUGUAAAGGGGGCGCAGACGGCGAUGCAAGCCAGGAGUGAAAGCCCGGGGCCCAACCCCGGGACUGCUCUUGGAACUGCGUGGCUGGAGUGCAGGAGGGGCAGGCGGAAUUCCUGGUGUAGCGGUGAAAUGCGUAGAUAUCAGGAGGAACACCGGUGGCGAAGGCGGCCUGCUGGACUGCAACUGACGUUGAGGCUCGAAAGCGUGGGGAGUAAACAGGAUUAGAUACCCCAGUAU
rnacentral:rRNA from 1 species